rnacentral:rRNA from 1 species
UAGGGUAACCUGARMAACCCSRAAGGUCGAAGGGAGAAAUUCAUUCGCGUUUCGUCGCAGGCGUUGGGCGGUCGAGCGACGGGAAGCGUUCGCGCGCUUUCCCGCGCCUUCCGUCUUCCGAACCGGCGGCGUACGCGUGCACUUUYCUCCUGGUAGGACGUCGCGAUCCGUUGGGUGUCGGUCUACGGCUCGCGGUGGAGCCCGUUCGUCGCGAUUUCAUCGCGCGAACGGACCCGCGUGUCCCGGCUGACUCGCUCGACGGUAUACGAAAGGUUUAGGGCCGCUCUUUCGGAGCGUUCGACUCGCGGCAAGCGCGCCAGAUGCGUCGGCGAUCGGACCCGGUGCCGAUUCUGACCUCUGGUGACUGUUGGCCGCGAAGUUCUCGAACAGACCUUCGAACCGAUCUGCGACGCUAUAGCUUUGGGUAAUUUCAGGACCCGUCUUGAA